AUGCUCUGCUCCGCCGCCGCGCGCACCGGCCGCACGAACCAUGCCCGUCUCACUGCACUAACCGUCGCGCGCCUUCACAUCUCGACCAAGAAGCAGAGCACCCGCAGCCAGCACCAUGGCGAGUCGGACUGCCGUGUCCGCCGUCGCCGUGGCCCUCUAUGGGGCGCCGCUCCCCUGAAUCUUGACUGCAGUGAGAUACCUGUCGCUCGUCUUUUUAACCCUCUAGAGAAAGUUCAUGCUGAUAAUGAUAUAAUCUCCAUGCUCCCCACCAAGGAGCUCAUCCGCAUAGGAUACUUCAGAACUCGGUGA
rnacentral:rRNA from 1 species